rnacentral:lncRNA from 1 species
CAUAACCUUCAUUAUUAUGAGAACAAUACACAAUUCUUCAAAUAUCUCUCUUCACUCCAUUAUGAUUACCCGACGAACUAAAACACAUAUUUGGAUUGAUAAGGAAAAAAAGAGAAAAUUAUACAAACCCGGUUUCAAGUUCGAAAGGAAGAGGGCCUUCAAAACCGGGAAGAAACUUGACGAUAGAGCCAGAUUCAGCAUGAUGUCUUAAAACAAGUAAAAGAAGAAGCAGCAACUUGGGUGAAAAAG